GGUUUAUAGCUCAGUGGUAGAGUACUUGCUUAGCAUGCAUGAGGCUCUGGGUUCAAUCCUCAGCACCA
rnacentral:tRNA from 1 species